CGGCCAGUCCCGGAGGGGCAGGACCUUUGCCCUUGGGGGCUGCGGCAAGGGCGGACUCCAGGCGGGGAGAGGAGGAGCCAGAACCCAAGAGGCGGAGUGGGACAAAUCUAUAACCCAGGAAGCAAAUCAGUGGCGAAAGCCAGAGCCCAGAAAGAUGAGAACUACUGCAACUUUAUACAAAACUGUGCUGCCAGUGUGCUCGGGAACAGUGGGACCUUUCAUUUCCUCCAUUCGCUUCACUGCCGCUCCAGUCCCCAGCACUGGCAGUGAGUCACCGUCAAAGCCAACCAUUAGCACGGCCAAGCAAAGCAACACUAACAAUAAACUGAAGCGCAGAGUGACUUGCCUACGGUCGCGCCACAGAGAAUACAUCAAAAGAACGUGUGUUGGUGUAGAUGAGCUGAAAUACGGGCCCAAACAAGUUGUUCUUCAUUUGGAGAGGGAGGAGGCAGAGGGUAAGGUGACCUGUUUUAGAGAAACCACACAAAGGUUCUCAUCCAGAGGACCAAGAGCCCCGCCCCGCCCCGCCCCACCCCACGCCAAGGACCUACGGAUAGAAUCACAUCUCAAUAUAAUUUGCUUCCUUUGAAUUCUCAUGUAUUUUAUUUUAUGCAUUUAAAAACAUGACCCUGGGACGCCUGGGUGGCUCAGUCAGUUAAGUGUCUGCCUGCGGCUCAGGUCUUGAUCUCAGGGUCCUGGGAUCGAGCCCUACAUCAUCUGGUUCCCUGCUCAGCAGGAAGCCUGUUUCUCCCGCUCCCUCUGCCUCUCCCUCUGCCCCUCCCCCUGCUUGUGUGUGGGCGUGCGCUCUCUCUCUCUCUCUCAAAAUAAAAAUAAAUAAAAUCUAAAAAUAAUAAAAAUAAAAAUAAAAACAUGACCCUGAGGAGGGGUCCA